rnacentral:rRNA from 1 species
GGCGACCGGCGCACGGGUGAGUAACACGUAUCCAACCUGCCGAUAACUCGGGGAUAACCCUUCGAAAGAAGGCCUAAUACCCGAUGGCAUAUCCCUUCCGCCUGGUUGGGAUAUUAAAGAACUUCGGUUAUCGAUGGGGAUGCGUUCCAUUAGCUUGUUGGCGGGGUAACGGCCCACCAAGGCUUCGAUGGAUAGGGGUUCUGAGAGGAAGGUCCCCCACAUUGGAACUGAGACACGGUCCAAACUCCUACGGGAGGCAGCAGUGAGGAAUAUUGGUCAAUGGACGAGAGUCUGAACCAGCCAAGUAGCGUGAAGGAUGAAGGUCCUAUGGAUUGUAAACUUCUUUUAUACGGGAAUAAAAGUGCAGUAUGCAUACUGUUUUGUAUGUACCGUAUGAAUAAGGAUCGGCUAACUCCGUGCCAGCAGCCGCGGUAAAUACGGAGGAUCCCGAGCGUUAAUCCGGAUUUAUUGGGUUUAAAGGGAGCGUAGGGCGGAGGCUUAAGUCAGUUGUGAAAAGUUUGCGGCUCAACCGUAAAAAUUGCAGUUGAUACUGGGCCUCUUGAGUACAGUAGAGGCAGGCGGAAUUCGUGGUGUAGCGGUGAAAUGCUUAGAUAUCACGAAGAACUCCGAUUGCGAAGGCAGCCUGCUGGACUGUCACUGACGCUGAUGCUCGAAAGUGUGGGUAUCAAACAGGAUUAGAUACCCUGGUAGUCCACACAGUAAACGAUGAAUACUCGCUGUUGGCGAUACACGGUCAGCGGCCAAGCGAAAGCGUUAAGUAUUCCACCUGGGGAGUACGCCGGCAACGGUGAAACUCAAAGGAAUUGACGGGGGCCCGCACAAGCGGAAGGAACAUGUGGUUUAAUUCGAUGAUACGCGAGGAACCUUACCCGGGCCUUGAAUUGCAUAUGAGUUAUCCGGAGACGGAUAAGCCGCAAGGCAUAUGUGAAGGUGCUGCAUGGUUGUCGUCAGCUCGUGCCGUGAGGUGUCGGCUUAAGUGCCAUAACGAGCGCAACCCUUAUCGAUAGUUACCAUCAGGUUAUGCUGGGGACUCUGUCGAGACUGCCGUCGUAAGAUGCGAGGAAGGUGGGGAUGACGUCAAAUCAGCACGGCCCUUACGUCCGGGGCCACACACGUGUUACAAUGGGGGGUACAGAAGGCCGCUACACAGCGAUGUGAUGCCAAUCCCCAAAACCCCUCUCAGUUCGGAUUGGAGUCUGCAACCCGACUCCAUGAAGCUGGAUUCGCUAGUAAUCGCGCAUCAGCCACGGCGCGGUGAAUACGUUCCCGGGCCUUGUACACACCGCCCGUCAAGCCAUGAAAGCCGGGGGUACCC